rnacentral:rRNA from 1 species
AGAGUUUGAUCCUGGCUCAGAUCGAACGCUGGCGGCAUGGCUAAAACAUGCAAGUCGAACGAGAAACCAUCUUCGGAUGGCAGACAGUGGCGAAAGGGCGAGUAAUGCGUUUUUAACGUGCCCGUAGGUAAGGGAUAGCUCAAGGAAACUUGGAUUAAUACCUUAUAAUCUCAUCGUGUCACAAGGCAUGAUGAGCAAAGAUUUAUUGCCUACGGAUCGGAGAACGUGCUAUCAGGUAGUUGGUAAGGUAACGGCUUACCAAGCCUAUGACGGCUAGCGGGUGUGAGAGCACGACCCGCCGCAUCGGGACUGAGACACUGCCCGGACUCCUACGGGAGGCUGCAGUAACGAAUAUUCCGCAAUGCACGAAAGUGUGACGGAGCAAUGCCGCGUGAAGGAUGAAUCCCCUUGGGGUGUAAACUUCUGUCAGGGACUAGGAAAAAAAUGACCAAUCCCAGAGGAAGAGCCGGCUAACUCUGUGCCAGCAGCCGCGGUAAUACAGAGGGCUCGAGCGUUGAUCGGAAUCAUUGGGCUUAAAGGGUACGUAGGCGGGCUUGUAAGUAUUUUGUAAAAUCCCACGGCUCAACCGUGGAACUGCAGAGUAAACUACAAGUCUUGAGAUCGGUAGAGGUUGUCGGAACAAUAGGUGGAGCGGUGAAAUGCGUAGAUAUCUAUUGGAACGCCAAAGGAGAAGUCAGACAACUGGGCCGAUUCUGACGCUGAGGUACGAAAGCGUGGGUAGCGAACGGGAUUAGAUACCCCGGUAGUCCACGCCGUAAACGAUGUACACUAGGUACGAGGCAUGCUGACAUGUUUCGUGCUGAAGCAAAAGUAUUAAGUGUACCGCCUGGGGAGUACGGCCGCAAGGCUAAAACUCAAAGGAAUUGACGGGGGCUCACACAAGCGGUGGAGCAUGGCUUAAUUCGAAUCAACGCGAAGAACCUUAUCCAGGGUUUGACAUGUAUGGAUUAGCUUCCUGAAAGGGAAGUGACGCGCUUGCGUGGAACAUACACAGGUGUUGCAUGGCUGUCGCCAGCUCGUGUCGUGAGAUGUCGGGUUAAGUCCCUUAACGAGCGAAACCCCUACUGCUAGUUGCUACCAGGUAAUGCUGAGGACUCUAGUGGGACUGCCGGUGUCAAACCGGAGGAAGGUGGGGAUGACGUCAAGUCCUCAUGGCCUUUAUGCCCUGGGCUGCACACGUGCUACAAUGGUACCUACAGAGCGAAGCAAGACCGCAAGGUGGAGCAAAUCGCAGAAAAGGUGCCCCAGUUCGGAUUGUGGUCUGCAACUCGACCACAUGAAGUCGGAAUCGCUAGUAAUCGCGCAUCAGCUAUGACGCGGUGAAUAUGUUCCUGAGCCUUGUACACACCGCCCGUCAAGUCAUGGGAGCUGGUAGUACCCGAAGCCGCACCAAUUCAGGUGUGUCGACGGUAAGAUCGGUGACUGGGACUAAGUC